AGCUCCAAUAGCGUAUAUUAAAGUUGUUGCGGUUGAAAAGCUCGUAGUUGGAAUUCUGUCUAGAGCAACUAGUCCGCUCAUUGGGUGUGCAUUUGGUUCGCUCUUGGCAUUCUUCAGAUUAGCUGUGAUGCACUUGACUGUGUGUCCUGGGGAUCUGAUCUUUUACUUUGAGGAAAUUAAAGUGUUUCACGCAGGCAUACGCCUUGAAUUUAAUAGCAUGGAAUAAUGGUUUAGGACCUUAGUUCUAACUUGUUGGUUCUUAGGAAGAAGGUAAUGGUUAACAGGGAUAAUUGGGGGUAUUCGUAUUUAACUGUCAGAGGUGAAAUUCUUGGAUUUGUUAAAGACGGACAACUGCGAAAGCAUUUGCCAAGGAUGUUUUCAUUG
rnacentral:rRNA from 1 species